UACAGAGGUCUCAAGCGUUGUUCGGAUUCAUUGGGCGUAAAGGGUGCGUAGGCGGCGCGGUAAGUCGGGUGUGAAAUCUUGGAGCUUAACUCCGAAACUGCAUUCGAUACUGCCGUGCUUGAGGACUGGAGAGGAGACUGGAAUUUACGGUGUAGCGGUGAAAUGCGUAGAUAUCGCGAGGAACACCUGCGGCGAAGGCGGGUUGCUGGGCUGAUACUGACGCUGAUGCGCGAAAGCCAGGGGAGCGAACGGG
rnacentral:rRNA from 1 species